CACUGGAAGCCCAUUUGAAGGUUAGGUUUUGUGAGUUAGUUACCACUGUUUUGUAUUAUAAUAAGUCUGGUUUCAAUCUUGAAAUUAUUCUGUGGUAGAAAAACGAAAGGAAGGAUAUUCUGAAUGCAGUUAGUUUUGCUAUACCUAUUUUUCACUGUUACGGACACAAGUCAGCAUGCCAGAUAAAGUUUAGCCCAAGACGGCAACGAGGCUAUGCUCUUACAGACGGGGAGGGGAUUGAAAGAUUGUGGUCCUAUUUGCGAGGUUUCUCUUCAAUGACAAAAGAAAUGAGUGCUGGUCGCCGAACAGACAUGCUUACAGAUGCCCUAUUACAUUAUUCAACACGGCAACUCCUUGCAUGUGGGGAGCAACUUUUAACAAAGCUGAAGAGGUGUCCAAU